UCUCUCAGUACGGUCGGAAAUCGUACGUAGAGUGUAAAGGCAAAAGAGAGCUUGAUUGCAAGACAUACAGGUCGAGCAAGGAUGAAAAUCGGACUUAGUGAUCCGGUGGUUCUGCGUGGAAGGGCCAUCGCUCAACGGAUAAAAGCUACCCUGGGGAUAACAGGCUUAUCUCCCCCAAGAGUCCACAUCGACGGGGAGGUUUGGCACCUCGAUGUCGGCUCAUCACAUCCUGGGGCUGUAGUAGGUCCCAAGGGUUGGGCUGUUCGCCCAUUAAAGUGGUACGCGAGCUGGGUUCAGAACGUCGUGAGACAGUUCGGUCCCUAUCCGUCGCAGGCGUAGGAAAUUUGAGAAGACCUGUCCUUAGUACGAGAGGACCGGGAUGGACGUACCUCUGGUGUACCAGUUGUCCUGCCAAGGGCAUGGCUGGGUAGCUAUGUACGGAAUGGAUAAGCGCUGAAAGCAUCUAAGCGCGAAGCCAACUUCAAGAUAAGAUUUCCCACCGCAAGGGUAAGACCCCAGAAAGACUAUCUGGUUGAUAGGUCGAAGGUGUAAGUGCAGCAAUGUAUUUAGCUUAUCGAUACUAAUAGGUCGAGGACUUGACCAA
rnacentral:rRNA from 1 species